AUUGAACGCUUGAAGAAUAAGAUC
rnacentral:piRNA from 1 species